rnacentral:misc_RNA from 1 species
AUGAAGAACGCAGCGAAAUGCGAUAAGUAAUGUGAAUUGCAGAAUUCAGUGAAUCAUCGAAUCUUUGAACGCACAUUGCGCCCGCCAGUAUUCUGGCGAGCAUGCCUGUUCGAGCGUCAUUUCAACCAUCAAGCCCCAGGCUUGUGUUGGAGCCCUGCGGCUGCCGCAGCCUCCCAAAACCAGUGGCGGGCUCGCUAUCACACCGAGUGCAGUAGUUUACUCUUCGCUCAGGGCGUGUGGCGGGUGCUAGCCGUGAAACCCCCAACUUCUCAAGGUUGACCUCGGAUCAGGUAGGAAUACCCGCUGAACUUAAGCAUAUCAAUAAGCGGAGGA